rnacentral:rRNA from 1 species
GCGCGUAAAUUGCCCGAAUCCUGACACAGGGAGGUAGUGACAAGAAAUAACAAUACAGGGCUAUCUUAGUCUUGUAAUUGGAAUGAGUACAAUUUACAUCUCUUCACGAGGAUCAAUUGGAGGGCAAGUCUGGUGCCAGCAGCCGCGGUAAUUCCAGCUCCAAUAGCGUAUAUUAAAGUUGUUGCAGUUAAAACGCUCGUAGUCGGAUUUCGGGGCGGGGCCGCCGGUCUGCCGAUGGGUAUGCACUGGCGGUCGCGUCCUUCCUUCCGGAGACUGGCCCUACUCUUAACUGAGCGGGGUCGGGAGACGGAUCGUUUACUUUGAAAAAAUCAGAGUGUUUCAAGCAGGCAGCUCGCUCUUGCAUGGAUUAGCAUGGGAUAAUGAAAUAGGACUUUGGUGCUAUUUUGUUGGUUUCGAACACCGAAGUAAUGAUUAACAGGGACAGUCAGGGGCACUCGUAUUCC